GCUGAGAUAAUGCUGUAAUGGACCUGGUAAUGCAGACAUCUCUUCAUAACCCUGAUUUCAAAUUUUCGGAAACUUACCCAGAACUGGGAUUGCUGGAUCCUACGUAGUUCUGUCUUUAAUGUUUUGAAGAACUUCCAUGCUGUUCUCCAAAUAGUGAUACAAUUUCUGUUCCCAUCAACAGUGCACAAGGGGUUCCUCUUCUCCACAUUCUCACCAAUGUCUGUCUUUGUGACGAUAGCCACCCUGCAGGUGUGAGGAGGCAUCUCGUGUGGUUUUGAUUUGCCUUUCCCUGGGGAUUUGGAUGCUGAGCACCUUUUCACAUACCUGUCAGCCAUUCAGAUUGCUUGUUUGAAGACGUGUCUAGUUGCACGGGGUUUAUUUGCAUUUGUGCAUGGAUUUCCUUACAGAUUUCGGGUGCUACCACUAAUGGACACAUGGUUUGCAGAUGUCCUUUUCCUGGAUGCUGCCCUUCCUCUUGCUGACUUUCUUGUGCUGUGAAGAAGCUCUUGUCUGUAAUGCACGUGUCUGUUUUUCCUUU
rnacentral:lncRNA from 1 species